rnacentral:rRNA from 1 species
AGAGUUUGAUCCUGGCUCAGAACGAACGCUGGCGGCGUGGAUAAGACAUGCAAGUCGAACGGGAUUUUCCGGGUAGCAAUAUUUGGGAAGUCCAGUGGCAAACGGGUGCGUAACACGUGAGCAAUCUGCCGGGAAGUGGGGGAUAGCUCGCCGAAAGGCGAAUUAAUACCGCAUGUGGCCAGGGGGGACAUCCUUCCGAAGCCAAAGUCGCAAGACGCUUCCUGAUGAGCUCGCGGCCUAUCAGCUUGUUGGCGGGGUAACGGCCCACCAAGGCUAUGACGGGUAGCUGGUCUGAGAGGACGACCAGCCACACUGGAACUGAGACACGGUCCAGACACCUACGGGUGGCAGCAGUCGAGAAUUUUUCACAAUGGGGGAAACCCUGAUGGAGCGACGCCGCGUGGAGGAUGAAGGUCUUCGGAUUGUAAACUCCUGUCAUGCGAGAACAAGAAAGUGAUAGUAUCGCAAGAGGAAGAGACGGCUAACUCUGUGCCAGCAGCCGCGGUAAUACAGAGGUCUCAAGCGUUGUUCGGAUUCAUUGGGCGUAAAGGGUGCGUAGGCGGCGUGGUAAGUUGAGUGUGAAAUCCUGGGGCUUAACCUCAGAACUGCACUCAAUACUGCCAUGCUCGAGGAAUGUAGAGGAGAGUGGAAUUCACGGUGUAGCAGUGAAAUGCGUAGAUAUCGUGAGGAAGACCAGUUGCGAAGGCGACUCUCUGGGCAUUUCCUGACGCUGAGGCACGAAGGCCAGGGGAGCAAACGGGAUUAGAUACCCCGGUAGUCCUGGCAGUAAACGGUGCACGUUUGGUGUGGGCGGGUUCAGACCCCGUCCGUGCCGGAGCUAACGCGUUAAACGUGCCGCCUGGGAAGUACGGUCGCAAGAUUAAAACUCAAAGGAAUUGACGGG